CGUUCUGUGACUUAGUUGGUUAAAGUGUCGGUCUACGAAUACGCAGUCGUGGGUUCGAAUCCCACCAGAACGC
rnacentral:tRNA from 1 species